UCAGAGCUGCAGUUCCAACAGAGAAGAACUGAGGAAAAGGCAGAAUCUCUCUCCUCAUAACCAACUGCCCAAAGGUCCCUCCCUGAGAGGGAAACAUUCCCCUUUCCAUCUUGUACAAACUCUGGACUUUGGUAAUUCUUUGUUUGGUUUGGACUACCCCAGCAGGGGAAAACCCUGAACUAAUCUGGUCCAGGAUAGUGGCCAUACUACAGAAGGAGGCAGUUGUCACAAGAGAAAGGAAGAGAGUUAGCCUGCUACAUGCAGCCAUGAGAACGUGCGUUGUGUAAGAAUAAACUCCAUACACUUCAGAGGCUAGACCUCACGUUGAAUUCGAGAUACUGGCAUUGUGGAUGAAAAGAAUGGUGAAAUCCUUAAUUACCUGAUCUACGCGGGUGGCCUAUUAAGAUUUGGAAUGGCUUAUCAUGGUGAAAAUUAUACACAAGAGAGACUUGUUCAAUGCCUAUUUGGAUAUUUGGGCCAGAUCUUUAUGUCCUUACUUACUCUUUACCAAGGUUUGCCAAAGAUGCAAAAUAUAUCGUAAUAAAUCAUCUGUGAAAAUGAGAAUGGAAGAAUGUGUUUUUAAAAGUCAUUUUCCUUCUGAACAUAUGUUUUCCCACAACAUCCCCAUUUCAAAGGAUUAUGCUUAAAGACAUCAGUAGCCUUCCAAAAUUGUUUUAAUCCAUUGUUGUUUCAAGUUAAUUUGAGAAGAGACACACCAAACACCAUUUAGAAUAAGAAAUAUAAAUGAUGCCUCCUUCAACACAAUGGUAAUGUAUAUUUUAUUUUACUGCAUUAUUUAAGAAAUAGUAUAUGACCCCAUGAUUUAAAAUGAUCAUAUUUAGACCAUCUGAUUUUUGGGAGGUUUUUAUUUAUUUAUAUAU